UUAAGCUUAGUUGCCAUCAUUAAGUUGGGCACUCUAAGUUGACUGCCGGUGACAAACCGGAGGAAGGUGGGGAUGACGUCAAAUCAUCAUGCCCCUUAUGAUUUGGGCUACACACGUGCUACAAUGGACAAUACAAAGGGCAGCGAAACCGCGAGGUCAAGCAAAUCCCAUAAAGUUGUUCUCAGUUCGGAUUGUAGUCUGCAACUCGACUACAUGAAGCUGGAAUCGCUAGUAAUCGUAGAUCAGCAUGCUACGGUGAAUACGUUCCCGGGUCUUGUACACACCGCCCGUCACACCACGAGAGUUUGUAACACCCGAAGCCGGUGGAGUAACCUUUUAGGAGCUAGCCGUCGAAGGUGGGACAAAUGAUUGGGGUGAAGUCGUAACAAGGUAGCCGUAUCGGAAGGUGCGGCUGGAUCACCUCCUUU
rnacentral:rRNA from 1 species